GACGAACGCUGGCGGCGUGCUUAACACAUGCAAGUCGAACGGUAAGGCCCUUCGGGGUACACGAGUGGCGAACGGGUGAGUAACACGUGGGUGAUCUGCCCUGCACUUCGGGAUAAGCCUGGGAAACUGGGUCUAAUACCGGAUAGGACUCCGGACUGCAUGGUCUGGGGUGGAAAGCUUUUUCGGUGUGGGAUGGGCCCGCGGCCUAUCAGCUUGUUGGUGGGGUGAUGGCCUACCAAGGCGACGACGGGUAGCCGGCCUGAGAGGGUGACCGGCCACACUGGAACUGAGAUACGGCCCAGACUCCUACGGGAGGCAGCAGUGGGGAAUAUUGCUCAAUGGGCGCAAGCCUGAUGCAGCGACGCCGCGUGAGGGAUGACGGCCUUCGGGUUGUAAACCUCUUUCAGCAUCGACGAAGCGAAAGUGACGGUAGGUGCAGAAGAAGGACCGGCCAACUACGUGCCAGCCGCCGCGGUAA
rnacentral:rRNA from 1 species